rnacentral:lncRNA from 1 species
AGCCAGGCGAUGGUUCCAGACACAUUCCUGACAGUGUGUGAGCACCUGGAAGUAGCCUUACUCUGGGACUAAGGUGCUAAUGCUUAUAAAUAUCCUUUUUUUGGCCCAAGCCAGUUUGGACUGGGUUUGUCACUUGCAACAGAAUUUGAACGAGAGGUGUCCGGGCACGGUGGCUUGGACUCUGGCAGAGGCGCUUUUCCCACCUGGUGGCUCCCAGGGCCGAUUGCUGGUCAAGGAGCCAGAUAUACUCUUAAGACAUGAUGUGGGUUUUAUGGGGCUCCCUGGCUCUGGGAGUGGCAGUGAGGCACGCUGAGGAAGGGCUGCCAUCUUGGUUUUGUGGCAACCUGCCGUAUGACCGUGGGCAAGUGCCUUCUCCUGUUUGGGCAUCUGUCUUCUGCUCUGUAACAUCAAGGGGCUGGGCUGGAUGAUCUCUCAGCGUCUUCCAACCUCUAUGGUCUAAGACGGCCUUCCCCACUCCAGCACUGCCUCAAACUGGGAUGAUGAGGACAGUAAAAGGGCGUUCUUUUUUUUUUUUUUUAAGACGGAGUCUCG